GGAAUUCGUGGUGUAGCGGUGAAAUGCUUAGAUAUCACGAAGAACUCCGAUNGCGAAGGCAGCUUGCUGGACUGUAACUGACGCUGAGGCACGAAAGCGUGGGGAUCAAACAGGAUUAGAUACCCUGGUAGNCCACGCCGUAAACGAUGAAUGCUAGCUGUUAGCGAUAUACUGUUAGCGGCACAGAGAAAUCGUUAAGCAUUCCACCUGGGGAGUACGCCGGCAACGGUGAAACUCAAAGGAAUUGACGGGGGCCCGCACAAGCGGAGGAACAUGUGGUUUAAUUCGAUGAUACGCGAGGAACCUUACCUGGGCUUAAAUUGCAGUGGAAUAACGUGGAAACAUGUUAGCCUUCGGGCCGCUGUGAAGGUGCUGCAUGGUUGUCGUCAGCUCGUGCCGUGAGGUGUCGGCUUAAGUGCCAUAACGAGCGCAACCCUCAUCGAUAGUUACUAACAGGUUAAGCUGAGGACUCUAUCGAGACUGCCGACGUAAGUCGUGAGGAAGGUGGGGAUGACGUCAAAUCAGCACGGCCCUUACGUCCAGGGCUACACACGUGUUACAAUGGGGGGUACAAAGGGCAGCUACCUGGCGACAGGAUGCUAAUCUCUAAAACCUCUCUCAGUUCGGAUUGGAGUCUGCAACCCGACCCCAUGAAGCUGGAUUCGCUAGUAAUCGCGCAUCAGCCACGGCGCGGUGAAUACGUUCCCGGGCCUUGUGCACACCGCCCGUCAAGCCAUGGGAGCCGGGGGGACCUGAAGUAUGCAACCGUAAGGAGCGUCCUAGGGUAAAACUGGUGACUGGGGCU
rnacentral:rRNA from 1 species